CCUCCCGCUACUCACCGCUUCUCUCUUCACCAUCACCUUGGACUCGGCUUGUCCUUCCUCCAAGUGCUGGGACUCCGAGCCCUCGGCCAGGGACGCUCCAUGGAUUCCCUCAGUGCAAAGGAGGGACACGAACAGGAGCAGGACAGCCAGCAUCUGGACUCUCAUCUUCU